UUUUAAUAGCUCCUUUUUCUUAUAUUUAUAGAGAUAGUCUGGAAAGCAUACCUAAAAGUCAUGGUCUCAGUUCCAGAAAGGAGCUGAAAGAGUAUCAUGUGUCCACAUAAGUAUUAUAGGCCCAAACUAACAUGAACACUGGCCGAUACAAUGUAAGUAGUUAAUCCAGAACUGUGUCAUUUUUUAGGGUUUUCUGAGCAGCACAGUUGAGUGGUUAAAAACACUGAAUCUGGAGCCAGACCACCAGUGUCAGAACCCAGCUCCACCAGCAGUAGGACCUUUGAUUAGGAAUUAAUGCUUGCUGCCCUGAUCAUCUGUUAAACUAUGGCAAGGUCAGUCACAUUCAAAGGAGUCCUGCAUUUCACUGGGUCACAUGAAAUUCAUGGCAGAAAAGGAAAGAGAAGUUUCAAAAAAGAAAGGAAGUUGGACCCGUAUUUUAAAGCACUAAGACACCGUGGGCCUUGUCAAGAUGGAGUAACAGAAGGUCCCUCCUGCACAAAAGGACCUUCGUCUGUGUUAUGGAUCUCAGCAGCACUGCCCAAGUGCUCUCUCCAAGAGGACACCUGCCACGGGGACAGAAUGACACACUUACCCAAAGGAUCCCACCAGGCCACCCUAUCCAUCCUCCACAACCUAUAAGCGGCCACCCCGGACCCCACCUGUGUCCCACCUGCACCUGCAGCCAGCUCACAGCAUAUCUGCUGUUCGCUCUACUCCACACUGCAGAUCCUACAGAUGGACAAUAGUGGGUGUGCAAGUUUUUUGGUUUUUUUUUUAAGAUUUUAUUUAUUUAUUUAUUCAUGAGAGACACACAGAGAGAGAGAGAGGCAGAGACACAGGCAGA